UUCGAACCUCAAAUCAGGA
rnacentral:rRNA from 1 species